CGGGCAGGGCUGGACAACCAGAGAGGUGGACCACGGCCGCCGCUUCCCCCUGACCGUCCAGGCUCAGCAGCACCGCCACCACCACCGCCGCCGCCUUCAUCAGCUGUCAGAAAUGGCUUCCAGGAUCCAGGUGAUGAUGAAUGGGAAAGCAGAUUUUCUUUUCAUCCUAUAUCUGAUUUACCACCUCCAGAGCCAUAUGUACCCGUGAACAGAAGUUAUCCCAGUAAACUAGCAAGAAAUGAAAGUAGAGGUGGCUCUGGCCGAAAAGAAAGAGGUGCCCCCCCGCUUCCGCCUAUACCAAGGUGAAAUGGGUUCUGGCCCAUCUUUGGGCGACGUCUGUUUUCAAGUUUCCUUCGAGUCAGCUCUCCUGUCCACAUCAUUGGAAAGUUGUCUGUUUUGCUUUAUUUCCACUUUUGGCUUGUCAGCUGGAACAAACUUCAGUCUAUUACAGAAGUAAUAGAUACAGCUUAUGAACUAUAGUUGCUCAAAGCUAUAAAUUUUAUUUGCUUAUACUGCAGGCUGUCAUGAAAGGCGUUUUGCGGACCAUACACAACAUACGUGCCUCAUGCUUACUGUGUCCAGCCCUGUCCCCUUGAAAGCUCCACAAGAUGUCUGGCUUUGAAUUGAAUUGAAUGAGAGCUGGAACAAUGCUGUUUCAUUCACUUUGGGUACAGUGGCUGUGUUAUUUGAAUGAUAAAGUACAGUCUAUUUUCUGUUUAAAAAACAGUUGCUGGGGAAAACCAUGUAGCCAAGAGUCCCCUGGAUCCUUCUUUGCAUGCCUAACUUGGCCCAUCUGCUUCUGCAAGCCUACUACAUGGUGACCAAGAGUUCAUCCUAAACCUUUUCACUUCAGCUUAGCCAAGCAAAUGUUGUUUUAAACAAUAGAUAGCACAUCCUGCCCCAAGGAUGGAGUGUGUCUGGCCUUGUUUUCAUCUGCGGAGAAUCUUCCAAAGAAAAGCACAAGAGAACAAUUCAGCAGCAUAAAAAUACCUUUUCUUUUUUACCCCUCUUUCCUUGUUUUUUAGUGGUGUUACACUUUUAGUCACCUAAUUCUUUCCUACUCUGAUGUGGACCACCCCACAGUCAUCCAUGUCCUGGAUUAUUGUAAAGCCUUCUACCUGAGACGACAUGCGAAGAGUCCUCAGCAAGUAGUCUCGGUGCAAAUGCAGCAAUCAUUGUAGUUGCAGGCUGCUUCUGUAAAGCAUUGCUAACACCAGUGCUCCACAGACUGCUUUCCAGUUGUUUCUUUGGUACAAUUAAAUGGUGGGUUUGACUUAAAAAGCUUCCUGGGGCUUAGGUCAGAAGUCUCAGAGAGAUUGUGUUUGACUUGCGUUACAGUAGAGCAGCUGAGGUCAAAAACGUGCUGAACUGAAAGCCCUUUGAUGUAGUGAAGAAGGUCUGGGGUUUUAGCGUUCAAGUGGGAGCAUCAGCUCCAAAAUUUGCUGUCUGCACUUGGUUCAAGAGAAAUGGGAACAUUUGGCCUUCUGAGUUUACCAUGAAGCCUGUCCUUUCAAACUUUGCUGAAAGGACUCUCCGCAGAGAGCUGCAAGGCUUACAUUAAUAGAAGAGAGAGUAAAGUAUUCUAACAUUGUGACGAUUGGUUUGUAUCUUUAAUGGCUUUUGAAUUUUGUACGUGAGAAAAGAGCUCAUUGUGUGAGUCCAUUUUACAAAUGGAUCUAAACACAUAUAAAAUGCCUUUGGAAAUUAGAGGUAGAGUGUAAUUCUGGAUUUGAAAUAUUGCUGAGUGAUAGCUCUUUGUUAAUUGGACUUCUGAAGGUUAGCUCUGAAAAAUUUCUCCUCAAUGGUUUCUGUUUCUUUGGUGUACUCCCUGGGAUCCCUACCAAGCCUGUAUCAGCAGCCAUGCUGAUUAAGAAAGACCAAUAAAUAAAAGAAUUAGUCAUGUACGUUAAGAAAAUGUUUUUCUAGCAUGGGAGACAUGAUCCUAAGUACGCUCUGUGGCUAGAAUGAGGUCAGUUUCUUUAGCUGCAGAGAGUCUGGACCCCACUGAAGCGUUUGUGCGUAGGGCUCUUUGCUCUGUCAGUGGGCACGGAGGGGCAGAUCUCCUUUCUGCCUGACAGCCUGGACAGGGGAUGACACAGAGUUGGGUUUGGCCAGAUCAAAUUUAAUUUGGCCUUUUCAGUGCUUGUUUACAAAAUCUUGUUAGCUGUGAUAGCAUUUGAUUAUGUACCUGUUUUUUACAUUUUUAUAUCUAAUGACAUAUUUUAAGUUACUAUUUAUGGUCUUGAACCUGCAAUUCAUGCGCAGGCGCGGGGGUGUAUCUACAUCUAAUUGCAGGAUCGUGGCUGUAAGAGUUUCUUAAACAGAUAUUAGUGGGACCUCCAUGUGACAGGUGCACCUUGGGAUCAAACCUAGCGCAGUACUGAAUUUGUAUAUGUAUUUUAUGGAUGUCACUUAAACAAAGUGCCUGUCUCUUUGGGAUAUUGUUAUGUGAAUAGAAGUCCAAAUAAGAUUUUUAGGAUAAUAACUUAAAGGAUAAAUUAUUGUAUUCAUGUUUUUAAACUGAAGCACUUAUAACUUUCUAAGGAACAACAUUUUGAAUUUAAGAAUACAAUAUUUUUAGUACCUUGACCUGAUUAAUAUCCUUAUCCUUAUUAGUAUCCAAACAGCUAUGCAGCCAAAAAAAAACCAAAACCCUCCAGAAACAAUACCUUUUUUGCAACUUACCUGCUUCCAGCAUGACUGUUCGAGUAAGUCAACAAAAAUGCUGCACAUUGUUCUGCCAACUCUCUGCAUCAUUUGAAAUACCCUAUAUUUGAUCUUUUGAGCAAGGUUUUCUGACCAGAAAUUCUGGACCACUACCAAAGACUUGGCAAACCAGCUUCAGUCUCACUUUAAAAUGUGCUGUGUAAAAGGCCCUCAGUCAAAAAGCCAAGAAACCUGAGCUGCUUCAGUUUUAGCACUUCUUUGUACUAUAGAAACCUCUUCAAAAGGGAUGUUUGGCAUAUAUGUAAAAUAGCUUAACAAUGCAGAAAGAGGUAUUUUUUCAUCUAACAACUUUACUAUUUAUAUCUUUCGCUAUAAAAGUCCCUAGAUAUAUUCCAGAACAAUGCAACAUUUUAUCAUUCAAUGUAUUGCUUCAUAUAUCAGUAGCUAAUUAGACUAUGAUCACUAUUAAAGUAUUUAUUUCACUAUGAAGUGUUAAAAAGGAAGAAUGCAAAACAUACUGAAUCAGUGGUGCCUUAUGACUUUUUUAGUCAACUGUUCUGUGUCUCACUAGAAAAAUUAAUAGGCGUCGUUCUGCCAAGUCCUAAUGUAAAUAGCGGCAACAGUAGCAUUAUGCAGUGUUUGAGCCAAGUCCUGCUGUUGUGCCGUGCUCGGUCUGCUAAUUUCAGAUUGAGCUCAGUGUAUGGAGAGACUAUUGGAUCAGUCUUUAGGUGAGAUGUAGGUGGGCACUGGUUAACCUCACAAUCAACUCUUGGUAUGGCUCUGGAAAUUUAACCCUUUCCCCAAACCAGUGUCUUACCCUGCUGUCCAUACAGCCCAGCUGACUUCAGCGUGGUUGCAUAGGUUAUUAGAGAACUAAAUUUGAUUCACUGCUUUCAUAUAAGAUUUAGUGGGUUUGUUUCAAUGGCAUUGUAUUGUAAACCUUCACACCUCAAACUAUCUCUGUAUGUCAUCACUAGGACGUUGUGUGCCGAUGGCCAUGGAUGUUCAUUUUUGUUUAAUUCAAGUCAGUAAAUGAAAUGGGAAUAACUUUUGUACCAUGUGUUAAUAAUUUCUGCUCAAUAUUUUUGGAAGAAAAGCACAUGUUAUGUCUGUUACGACUUUCUGCACCAGCCUUUGGGAGAAGAGGUCACAGUGAUUAAUGUUCAGGAUUGUUAAAGGAAACGCAGCCUGUGAUUCAGGAAGCACGUAUUUCUGCAAAUGAACUACUUCUUAAAGAAGGUCACAAAGUUCUUGUUUAGAAGCCAGCAUUUCCCAACACUAAAAGAAGCAUAAAAGUGAUUUUAUUUUUCUGCAAGACUGAACUAUUAAAGAAGUUCUUUAAAUUGUCGCUUAAAAAACUGGAUGGUGGUUUCUCCUGGAAGCAGCAACUGUUUACAUGUCACGUGCAGAAGUAGGUCUCUGUUGGAGGAGAAGAUGAGGGAGCUAAACUGCUAUCAUGCUUCACAUAUAUUGUAACACAACAAUUUGCUGUGCAAAAGUAUGCAAAUAAAAAGGGUAUUUUUUGCCUUAGAAGCAAAGAAUGGAGUUGAAUGGUCAAACUGGGAUUGUUUCAAACAGAAUGUCAAACGUCAAGAGACCUAGAGAGGGCCCCUCAGCCACAGGAUGCUGGAAAGGAUCAGAGUGCUCAAGGAACUACAAACGAAUUGGCUGAACGUUGUUAUCAAUACUAGAGUACAAAUCGCGAUAUAAGAUGUGCAUGUAUGUAAUACCACAUCAUAAUAGUAUGAACACUGUCGUCUCACAGUCGGGUGCGACCAACCUGUUAUGGCGGUACAUUGACUCUGUGUAACAUACAUUGUAUGAGCUUUACUCUUUCAAUCGGUAUUCAUCAGAAAAUAAGGAGAAUCUCUAUUCUAGGACACCCCAUAACACAUUUAAGCGUAGCUAGUUCAUGGACUGGUUCUUCAUGUAUGUUAGGAGAAAACUGGGAUCUUUUAGCCUGGAAGGUGGAAGCAUCCGGACCAUUCACUUAAAAUGUGACCUUGGAGCACUGGCAAAAAGGGGAGUGUUGGAGUUACUCAGCAGAAGCAGGGCACACGUGUCUGUUCUCAGUGAGUGAGUGUGCAGGAGGUAGGUAGGCAGACUAAAAGAAAAAAAAUGGAAACCGCGUGUCUUAAAAAAGGGAGUAACCCUUCAUGUUGCCAUUUUGAAAUACAGUUUGUCUGUGAUAAAUGUUCUUUACUGUAAACUAAUGCAUGCAAAGGAAGACCUCUGAAUUUGGACUUCCAAAGCCACACAAGACUAUGAGAGAGGGAGAGAAACAUAAUUUAAAACAUAGGCUGAGCAGAAAGUACCACGUUUUUAUCAGAUGCUUAAAGUUUGAGCUUUUUAUAAAACAGUAACCUAGUUCUGUGAAUAUUUUUUUGCUUCACAUUUAUUUUGU